rnacentral:rRNA from 1 species
GAUGAACGCUGGCGGCGUGCCUAAUACAUGCAAGUCGAGCGAACGGACGAGAAGCUUGCUUCUCUGAUGUUAGCGGCGGACGGGUGAGUAACACGUGGAUAACCUACCUAUAAGACUGGGAUAACUUCGGGAAACCGGAGCUAAUACCGGAUGAUAUUUUGAACCGCAUGGUUCAAAGUGAAAGACCGUCUUGGUUUCACCUAUCGAUGGAUCCGCGCUGCAUUAGCUAGUUGGUAAGGUAACGGCUUACCAAGGCAACGAUGCAUAGCCGACCUGAGAGGGUGAUCGGCCACACUGGAACUGAGACACGGUCCAGACUCCUACGGGAGGCAGCAGUAGGGAAUCUUCCACAAUGGGCGAAAGCCUGACGGAGCAACGCCGCGUGAGUGAUGAAGGUAUUCGGAUCGUAAAACUCUGUUAUUAGGGAAGAACAUAUGUGUAAGUAACUGUGCACAUCUUGACGGUACCUAAUCAGAAAGCCACGGCUAACUACGUG